rnacentral:rRNA from 14 species
UGACCAACGGAACAAGUUACCCUAGGGAUAACAGCGCAAUCCUAUUCUAGAGUCCAUAUCAACAAUAGGGUUUACGACCUCGAUGUUGGAUCAGGACAUCCC